CAAUCGUCUGCCCCGUACUGCGGUCCUGCAUAAUAAAGGGAUCAUCAAUACAAUAUAUACCACAAUGGAGGGCACGAGUCAAAUGACUAACAGAUGCAAGAUUAAAAGGACAGCCAGGGACAUAGAGAACGGAAUAUAGAGUGACAGAGGGUAGGGGAGUCGCUUGUCCAACUCCUUUUGCUUUGGUUUGAGACCCAUUGGCUAAAGUAACAGUAGGAAGGGACUGAGGCAGGGGAGUUGCUUGUCCAACUCCUUUUGCUUUGGUUUGAGACCCAUUGGCUAAAAUAACAAUAGGAAGGGACUGUGAAUACGCAAUAUUUGAC
rnacentral:lncRNA from 1 species